GAGGUCAAAUUUCGCGAAAUAUAAUGUAAACUUUACGGAUCCUCCGCGAACGAAAAGAUGGGGAGAAAAGCGAACAAAGGCAGUCAUAAUCAACCGAAUUUAGUCUCUUCUGCAUAGCUGGUUGAGAUAAAAGAAAGAAAUCAAUGAAUUCAAGAAAUGAUGGAAAUGUCUUGUCGGCGCAAGCAGAAAUCUCCACGCAGAUUAUCAGAAGACCUUGAAGACAAGCCUACAGAACAAGCUGAAGAACAAAUGAAUCAAACAGAUAAUUCUAUUCCAGAAACCAAAUCUUCCCUGUGCCAUCUAUGCAAUUAUGAGUUUUCUGGGCCCGGACAGCUUGCGAUUCAUCUGAGAUAUGUACACCAGCAGAUAGCCCAAAUUUCACCCAAGGUCAAGAAGGGGUCAGAGGGUCAAAGGUCAACUGAGAAAGGAGGAGAAGAGGGCAGCAGACAUGAAUCAGAUUGUCAGCACAGCAGAUCAAGUCCUCUACAAGGUAAGUUUAUAAGAUUGAUGGAGACACCAUUCCAUGAAAAAAAUGUUCAGUGAUUUUCACUGACUAUCUGUUAUAAGCUACUGAAAUCCUUGCAUCUGAUUGGCUGAGAGCAAAUUUGUCAUUGAAAAUCACUGAGAAGAUGCUUCAUGAAACAGUCCCCUGUUCAUUCCCAGGCAUUUGGGGGUGUCGUGGUCUAGUAGUUAAGAUUCUCGUCUUUCAAUCUGAGGGAUGCUGGUUUAAUUACUCGCCAUGGCGUGUUUUCCUUCAGCAAGAGAUUUACCCACAUUGUGCUGCACUCGACCCAGGUGAGGUAAAUGGGUACCGGCAGGAAGUAAUUCCUCAAAAAGCUGCGAGCACUGGAAUCGGUAGACUAGCUUAGCCAGGGUCUUAUUUGGGAGCGCCUUGAGCACCUAUAAAAAACAAGGUGGAUAUGUGUGUUAUACAAAUCUUGCUGGGUGCUACAUAACUUGCCCUGUCGGGCAAGUAAAUUUUUAAAUAGUUGGAAUAUACUUGCCUGAAAAUCGAUUUCACUUGCCCGAAAAAAUCCUUGAAAAAAAAGUUUUACCUCUUCAAAAUAAAAUAUUGCGGUUUUAUAAACCAGACCUUUUUUUUUCUCUCUUUUGACAAGAACUGAUGUACCUCGUUCUUGCAUUUCUUUUUACAAAGUGAUUUUAUCUUGCCCGCCAUGACCAAAUUUAGGGUCGAUAUAUCAUAUCGACCCUAAUUUUGGGAAUUCUACUGUGAGAAUUUUGCUUGCCCAAUUUGGGCGAGUAGUUUUGGUCUUUACUUCAAAACACUUGCCCGACUAACUUUUACUUGCCCCGGGCAAUCGUGCUAGACUGCUAGUGCUUAUGUAGCACCCUGCCCUGUAUCAUUUUCUUACAUGUACUUGCUGCCUAUUACCAGUUGGUUAGGGUGAUAGUCCCGGCUCCCACUUCAUGAAGAUUUACCAUGUGUAUGGAAACCUGGGGGCCAUUUCAUAAAGCUGUUCGGGGGUUAAGAGUGACUUUAAAAACAACUGGUGAUCCUUUCGUAUGUGCUACACCAUCGCCAAUGAACAUUUCCUUAUAUACCAUUUACCACAAAGGAUCACGAGUCGUUCUUAAAGUCGCUCUUAACUUUCAAACAGCUUUAUGGUUUAGCGUCGUAGUCUCAUCUUUCAAUGAGAUGGACGUGGGUUCGAAUCUCAGCCACGGCGUGUUUUCCUAUAGCAAGGAAUUUAUCCACAUUGUGCCGCACUCAACCCAGGUGAGGUGAAUGGGUACCCGGCGGGAUUAUUUCCUUGAAUGCACCAAGCGCCUUUAGCAGCUGGAGCUACAGCCGGGGUAAUAUAUACAUGCAGUGUGCCAUUGAAUAGGAAACUAGAUAAAUCGGCGCCUCAUAAAUGCUAUAUAUUAUGAAACACCCACCCAGAAACCUUGAUUGUGUAUGACUGCUUAGCCCUGUUGCCAUGGUAGUUGCAAUAAGUUACCAUGGUUGUACAAUUACGUCUUUAUGAAACCAUUUCACCAAGUAUGUAGGAUGAGUGGAAAACAACAUCUUUUUCAAGUUUCAAAUUCAAUGUUUUAAGAGCGUACUAUCAGAGUAGAAAAUGAUUAACAGACAACUUUGUUUUUGUAUUUUUUUCAUAAUCUUCUUUUAAAUAAAAAUCUUCAAGAGUUGGUUGACCGUUUGUGCGUAGUCCCAUUCAUUGAAUCCUCUGAGAGCUGCUUGUAUCUCUGAGUGACGCCUGACUUGCAGCACUAGUAAAUUAUGAAUUGAUAAAGAAUUUAUUCUGUUGAAAUUAGACUUGAAAAUAGUAAAAGUUGACAUUUUCAAAAACAAACAUGACAAAAUUUAAUAUCCACUUGCUCAAGAUUGCAGAUUUAAUGGUGCUUGACGUAAUAACAAAUUUGGCUCAGUAUUUUCAAUGGAGGUGGGGGUAGGGUGAGGACAGGAAAUUUUCGAUUUCUUGAGAGUUUUCUGACAAAGAAUAAUUGUGUGUGUGUGUAAUGUACAUGUAUGUGGAAAGUGUUGGUGGUGGUUCGGCGGGGGGGGGGGGGGGGGGGAAGAGUUCUCACUCCCCUAAAGAGCCUUGCAUCUGUCUCAGCAAAAAUUUACCAAAACAAACAAAAUCAUAAAUGUAUUUCACUGAAAAUCUGACAAGGGAACCUUGUAGGGGUACUCCAGGCUGAAAAUAAUAUGGUGUGAACAGAUAAAGAAAAAUCAGACAAAUAAAACAAUUAGAUUUUGACCAAAAUCGGACAAGGAAUAACAAAGUUAUGACAUUUCAAACAUUUGCAUUAUUUCGGUGAAACUUGCAUGUCUUCAUGAAUACUCAAUGAGCAAACUGAUGAGGUCACAUUUUCUCCCAAGAACCCCCCCCCCCAACAAAAAAAAAUGGUUUGACAAUUGAAUAAUGCAAUAGACAUUCAUUGCCGCAACUUAUAAGGGAGACACAUCAUUCACACAUAUACAUGAAAAAAAUGAAAAAGUUACGAUUUCGUGUAAUAACAUUAGAAAAAGAAAGUGGGGGAAAUUGUGACAUCAUCAGCCCACCUAUGACUAUUCAUGAUGACGUGCAUAAUUAAAGGGGAAUCCAGCCUUGGCCAUAACAUGUUGUGCUAGGAAGGAGAAAAAUAAAUUAAACAGAAUGGUGAAAGUUUGAAGAAAUCGGACAAGCAAUAAGAAAGUUAUAGCUGCUUUAAAAUUGAGAUCACUAAUACUAUGUAGAUUUCAAAUUGGCAACUGAGUGAGUAAAUUAUGACAAGGGCAAGGACAACUUUCCCAUAGGCCAUGUACUUUAUUAUCAGGGAUUUGUGGUUUUCUCCUAAGUUCCCAUUCCCCUGGGGCAGUUAUCUAAAUAUAACCCAGGUAGUAUAUUGUUUUAUGUCCUCAUGAAAGAAAAAUACAAUUUGAAAUAAAACUUUUGGGAAAAAUGACUUUUUAGCCAAAAUAUGUAUUGGAGUGCAUGGAAGAGUAGUCCUUGCCUUACAUCACUAUGACAUCCCAUAUGCGGCCAAUUUGAAGUCUCCAUGGGUAUAGUGAAUACCAAUAUUUACAACUUCAAAAAUUCAUAACUUUCUAGUUGUUUGUCCAAUAUUGUUAAAACUUCCACCUAUCAACUUGUCUGAUUUUUCUUUUCCCUAUAAAAACAAGUUUUUAUUUGGGUUGAAUUCCCCUUUAAACUGUUCACAAACUAUUGCUAAAUUUUAAUUUUAAUUCAAUAACAUCACUGUUUGUUUUCAGAUUUCGAUGUAAUUUUCAGCAUUUUGCUCUGCGAAUUUUAGAUGUAAUUAUUUUAGGCCCAGAGUACCCCAUUAAUGAAAAGGGAAGCUUAGAGUUUACAGUUCCGAUGAGAGGAGGGGGGGGGGGGGUGAGGGCAUACUC